rnacentral:rRNA from 1 species
AAGACCUUGCGCUUUUGGAGCGGCCGAUGCCUGAUUAGCUUGUUGGUAAGGUAAAGGCUUACCAAGGCUUCGAUCAGUAGCUGGUCUGAGAGGACGGCCAGCCACACUGGGACUGAGACACGGCCCAGACUCCUACGGGAGGCAGCAGUGGGGAAUUUUGGACAAUGGGGGAAACCCUGAUCCAGCCAUGCCGCGUGAGUGAAGAAGGCCUUCGGGUUGUAAAGCUCUUUCAGCCGGAACGAAACGGUUACGGAUAAUACCCGUGACUACUGACGGUACCGGAAGAAGAAGCACCGGCUAACUACGUGCCAGCAGCCGCGGUAAUACGUAGGGUGCGAGCGUUAAUCGGAAUUACUGGGCGUAAAGUGUGCGCAGGUGGUUUUGUAAGUCAGAUGUGAAAGCCCCGGGCUCAACCUGGGAACU